AGUGAACGCUGGCGGUAGGCCUAACACAUGCAAGUCGAACGGCAGCACAGUAAGAGCUUGCUCUUACGGGUGGCGAGUGGCGGACGGGUGAGGAAUACAUCGGAAUCUACUUUUUCGUGGGGGAUAACGUAGGGAAACUUACGCUAAUACCGCAUACGACCUACGGGUGAAAGCAGGGGAUCUUCGGACCUUGCGCGAUUGAAUGAGCCGAUGUCGGAUUAGCUAGUUGGCGGGGUAAAGGCCCACCAAGGCGACGAUCCGUAGCUGGUCUGAGAGGAUGAUCACCCACACUGGAACUGAGACACGGUCCAGGCUCCUACGGGAGGCAGCAGUGGGGAAUAUUGGACAAUGGGCGCAAGCCUGAUCCAGCCAUACCGCGUGGGUGAAGAAGGCCUUCGGGUUGUAAAGCCCUUUUGUUGGGAAAGAAAAGCAGCAGGUUAAUACCCCGCUGUUCUGACGGUACCCAAAGAAUAAGCACCGGCUAACUUCGUG
rnacentral:rRNA from 1 species